GCAUCGACGAGACCCAUCUUUGCAUCUCACUAGUCUGCCACUUUGUGCCGCGCAUUUGUGGGUUGUUUGUGUUGCAUGCUCUGUGAAGCGUAGCACACAUAGAUCUGAAUAUUUUACCAACCUCCUAAGCUAAGCCUAUUCAGCCAGAAAGCUCAUAGCAGCUACCUGCAUCCGACAUGACCGAGAGGAAGGAGAGUUCGAAGCUGGGGAAGCUGCGAAGCUGCGUGAAGCAGCAGAAGGGGAAGCUUUACAUCAUCAAGUUGUGCAUCACCAUGCUCAUCUGCGGCGGCCCAAAUUAAAUUGAGUACGCAUCAUGCGCUGCUUUCAUCCCUAAACCUGUAUCGAUUUUAGUUUUGAUCCAGUCGAUCAGCAAGAAUCUAUCUAAGCUCGAUCCCUGUAUAUCUACACACAGGUGCCAUCAUAUGUGUUGAGCAUGAAAUGUAAUCCAUAGAGAAAAUGUAAUCUAACUGUUUAUGGAUCCAAUACUAUGUUGAAUAAUAUGUGU
rnacentral:lncRNA from 1 species